AAUUAGGAAACUGAGGCACAGAUAUGCUCUUGGGUACUUGUCAGCAGCAGUUGUUCUACAAGUAAGGUGAAAAGUAGAACCUCUUUAUCACUAGGAAAUAUCUGGAUAUCUUAAAUCUCAGAUGAGCGUCUUAGCCUCUGGAUUACUGCUCAAUGAGGAAAGCUAUGAAAUGCAUGGAUAACUUGCUAAUCAGUAUUUGCCAUAUGUGCUAGCAGCAUCAGCAUCAGUUGGGAGAUUAUGGUGGCCUCCAUGUCAGACCUCCUAAAUCGGAAUAUCAGAGAAGGUGGCCCAGGUAGGUUACCAUGCUUCAUCUGCCAAUGCAUUGAAAACUUGGAAUGUAAAUUAAUUCAACCAUUGUGGAAGAUGGUGUAGUGAUUCCUCAAAGACCUAGAAGCAGAAAUAUCAUUUGAUC
rnacentral:lncRNA from 10 species